rnacentral:rRNA from 1 species
GUCUACGGCCAUACCACCCUGAAUGCGCCCCAUCUCUUCUGAUCUUGGAAGCUAAUCAGGGUCAGGCCUGGUUAGUACUUGGAUGAGAAGGGGAGCCACAUUCCAGUGUGGUUU